rnacentral:rRNA from 1 species
UCUGAGUUUGAUCCUGGCUCAGGACGAACGCUGGCGGCGUGCCUAAUACAUGCAAGUCGAGCGGACAGAAGGGAGCUUGCUCCCGGAUGUUAGCGGCGGACGGGUGAGUAACACGUGGGUAACCUGCCUGUAAGACUGGGAUAACUCCGGGAAACCGGAGCUAAUACCGGAUAGUUCCUUGAACCGCAUGGUUCAAGGAUGAAAGACGGUUUCGGCUGUCACUUACAGAUGGACCCGCGGCGCAUUAGCUAGUUGGUGGGGUAAUGGCUCACCAAGGCAACGAUGCGUAGCCGACCUGAGAGGGUGAUCGGCCACACUGGGACUGAGACACGGCCCAGACUCCUACGGGAGGCAGCAGUAGGGAAUCUUCCGCAAUGGACGAAAGUCUGACGGAGCAACGCCGCGUGAGUGAUGAAGGUUUUCGGAUCGUAAAGCUCUGUUGUUAGGGAAGAACAAGUGCCAGAGGAAUAUGCUGGCACCUUGACGGUACCUAACCAGAAAGCCACGGCUAACUACGUGCCAGCAGCCGCGGUAAUACGUAGGUGGCUAGCGUUGUCCGGAAUUAUUGGGCGUAAAGCGCGCGCAGGCGGUUUCUUAAGUCUGAUGUGAAAGCCCCCGGCUCAACCGGGGAGGGUCAUUGGAAACUGGGGAACUUGAGUGCAGAAGAGGAGAGUGGAAUUCCACGUGUAGCGGUGAAAUGCGUAGAGAUGUGGAGGAACACCAGUGGCGAAGGCGGCUCUCUGGUCUGUAACUGACGCUGAGGCGCGAAAGCGUGGGGAGCGAACAGGAUUAGAUACCCUGGUAGUCCACGCCGUAAACGAUGAGUGCUAGGUGUUAGGGGGUUUCCGCCCCUUAGUGCUGAAGUUAACGCAUUAAGCACUCCGCCUGGGGAGUACGGCCGCAAGGCUGAAACUCAAAAGAAUUGACGGGGGCCCGCACAAGCGGUGGAGCAUGUGGUUUAAUUUGAAGCAACGCGAAGAACCUUACCAGGUCUUGACAUCCUCUGACCCCUCUAGAGAUAGAGGUUUCCCUUCGGGGACAGAGUGACAGGUGGUGCAUGGUUGUCGUCAGCUCGUGUCGUGAGAUGUUGGGUUAAGUCCCGCAACGAGCGCAACCCUUGACCUUAGUUGCCAGCAUUCAGUUGGGCACUCUAGGGUGACUGCCGGUGACAAACCGGAGGAAGGUGGGGAUGACGUCAAAUCAUCAUGCCCCUUAUGACCUGGGCUACACACGUGCUACAAUGGAUGGUACAAAGGGAAGCGAAACCGCGAGGUGAAGCAAAUCCCAUAAAACCAUUCUCAGUUCGGAUUGCAGGCUGCAACUCGCCUGCAUGAAGCCGGAAUCGCUAGUAAUCGCGGAUCAGCAUGCCGCGGUGAAUACGUUCCCGGGCCUUGUACACACCGCCCGUCACACCACGAGAGUUGGCAACACCCGAAGUCGGUGAGGUAACCUUUUUGGAGCCAGCCGCCGAAGGUGGGGCCAAUGA